CCUACGGGUGGCAGCAGUGAGGAAUAUUAGUCAAUGGGCGGGAGCCUGAACCAGCCAAGUCGCGUGAGGGACGACGGUCCUAUGGAUUGUAAACCUCUUUUGUCGGGGAACAAAGGCGCCCACGGGUGGGCGGAUGAGUGUACCCGAAGAAAAAGCAUCGGCUAACUCCGUGCCAGAAGCCGCGGUAAUACGGAGGAUGCGAGCGUUAUCCGGAUUUAUUGGGUUUAAGGGGUGCGUAGGCGGGCCUUCAGGCCGGCGGUAAAAUUGCGGGGCUCAACCCCGCCGAGCCGUCGGAACCGGGGGCCUUGAGUACCGGAGAAGUACGCGGAAUGCGUGGUGUAGCGGUGAAAUGCAUAGAUAUCACGCAGAACCCCGAUUGCGAAGGCAGCGUACCGGCCGGUCACUGACGCUGAGGCACGAAAGCGCGGGUAUCGAACAGGAUUAGAUACCCGAGUAGUC
rnacentral:rRNA from 1 species